UCAGUUUUUUGGAGCAGAAUAUAGUCUCAUAUUAUUAUAAGACUUUUAGAUUUUAUGAACUUUUAUGCAUACUGCUUGAAAGGUUUCUUUAUAUGUAUAUAUAUUUAAUAACUAGUGAUUUUAUAGCAACUGUGCGGCUAACAACCUUAUCAUUUUUAUUCUAACAAACUGAGAAUAUUAUUAAAAUGCCAAUCAGCUGUUUUCUAUCUUACUAUCUCGCUUUGCUAACGUCUAUAACCUACCAAUUUGUAUAACGAGUUAAUCAAAAUUAAUACUGCCGUCAGUCAAUGUCAAGGCUAUAAGAAAAUAAUUAUUUUUCUUAUUAUUGGCAACGGGGACACCUCGGUACAUAUUGUGGAAUAUUGCCCACUCUCUUGGAAACGGGAAAAUGUUACAAGUGGUUCUGCUACAGGGUGCGACCGGAGGGCCGCCGUGACUGCUUCCGGUGAAUAGUUUUUGGUGUUGUCCUGAUGGAUUCUCCUAUUGCUGAAGUAUGAUGGACUGAGUGGCGUUUUUUCGCCAAGGAACAAGUUAGGAUAUUGGAUUGCCAUGCGCAAAGACGGGUCAACCACAAUCAAUUGAAAAUUUUUAUAUUAAAGGGUAAAAUAAUUUUUCAUAUAUUGAAUUGCAAAUGUGAAGCUGUUAUUAAGAAUAAUGGAGUAAUAAUGUCAUUUAAUGCCACUUAUUAAUAAUUAUUGUUAUUCGGUACAUAUCUUUAAAAAUAAACUGAACCAAAUGUUGUGGCCCAUAAAAUGUUGCAGAUCAUAGAACAGUACUUCAAAUGCUGUUAAAUUUCUCGUGAUGUAUAUUUAUUUGAAUUCUUACAAAGCUUACUGUUUUAAUAUUUGUUUGACUCACACUAGAUCUCCCUUACAAAAAUUGAGAGAAUUUUAAUUAAUUGAUUAAAUUAUAUACUUCAAAGUUGAAAAAAAAACAUUAUUUUAUUUUAUAAAUUUAGACGAUUGUAUACGCGAAUACCAAUUAUUUAUAUCUAUAAGAUUACUCACCUGUUUUGAAGAUGAUGUUACAGCUGCUGCUGCUGCAUGUUUAUUUAUAACAUUGUUCUUUUCGUUUACUGAGGCUAAAGCCAUUUUAUCUGUUUGCUCCUGAUUGUUCUGUUGUUGUGUAUCAAUGGUUUGCGUUACGUUCAUAUCUCGAUUCUUUGUCAGGGACGACACAUUCCCA